rnacentral:lncRNA from 1 species
UAUUAUGCCAAGCAGUUACGAAUCAAAUAACGAUCAAGCCACUUGUGAGCCUUGUCUCCUAGAGGUUUGGAAAGAAGGAGAAAAGAAUUCGGUCAUGGCUAUUGACAUUUGGCAUAGUUCUAGGGAUGAGAGUGAAGUUUAAGACACUAAGGCUAAAGACAUAUGGGCAGACAAUGAUUCCAAAACUGAGCCGACGAGGUAAGGAAACUGAGUGUCAACACCCCUUUUCUGGAUACAAAUAUCGAAGGAA